rnacentral:rRNA from 1 species
GACGAACGCUGGCGGCGUGCUUAACACAUGCAAGUCGAACGGAAAGGCCCUGCUUUUGUGGGGUGCUCGAGUGGCGAACGGGUGAGUAACACGUGAGUAACCUGCCCUUGACUUUGGGAUAACUUCAGGAAACUGGGGCUAAUACCGGAUAGGAGCUCCUGCUGCAUGGUGGGGGUUGGAAAGUUUCGGCGGGUGGGGAUGGACUCGCGGCUUAUCAGCUUGUUGGUGGGGUAGUGGCUUACCAAGGCUUUGACGGGUAGCCGGCCUGAGAGGGUGACCGGCCACAUUGGGACUGAGAUACGGCCGAGACUCCUACGGGAGGCAGCAGUGGGGAAUAUUGCACAAUGGGAGGAAGCCUGAUGCAGCAACGCCGCGUGCGGGAUGACGGCCUUCGGGUUGUAACCCGCUUUCGCCUGUGACGAAGCGUGAGUGACGGUAAUGGGUAAAGAAGCACCGGCUAACUACGUG